UGCCAGCAGCCGCGGUAAUACGGAGGAUGCAAGCGUUAUCCGGAUUCAUUGGGUUUAAAGGGUGCGUAGGCGGAAUGAUAAGUUAGUGGUGAAAUCCCUCGGCUCAACCGAGGAACUGCCAUUAAUACUGUCAUUCUUGAGUAUAGUUGAAGUGGGCGGAAUGUAUCAUGUAGCGGUGAAAUGCUUAGAUAUGAUACAGAACACCAAUAGCGUAGGCAGCUUGCUAAGCUAUAACUGACGCUCAGGCACGAAAGCGUGGGGAGCAAACAGGAUUAGAUA
rnacentral:rRNA from 1 species